GGGGGGGGCGCGCGGGAGCACUCCAGCCUUCUCUUCAGCUUGCUUAUUGCUGCUGUGGCUGCCCCUCCCAGCAUUCCAACAAGGAUGUCCUCUGGCCCUUGUAUGGUCACCUGACCAAGAAACUGAGUCACGUCGAGGUUGAGAGGUGAGGUAACUUACCCAAAGCCACCAGGCAGCAAGGGCGGAGUUGGAGUUGUACAUAAAGAGACAUGGGAUUUGGCCCUGACCUGCGAUGCACCUCGGUGUCAAAUGUCCUGUGGCUCAAAAAGCAGGUGAACGUGUGCAGCAGCUUAAUCUGAUUAUGCGGGAUCUGUGUAUGGAGUGAACAGGAUGUCUCUUCAGUGCAGGAAACACUAUGGGGUGAUAAGUCGGUAUAGGUGCAUCACUAAGUGGAUAUCUGGUCUGGAUCAAGGUCUGUACCUGUGGAUGUGAGCAUCAGUAUCCUCAUCGUUGUUAUCGUGAUGGACAGUAGUUUAUGGUAUAAAGUUAGGAAACAAAGCAACAGAUGAAAGAAUGUAGAUGACCUCCCCACUCCAGUCUCAUAAUUCAAAAGAUGCAUAGAAAGAAGCCUGGAAGGGAGUACACCACAUUGAGUCAUUUUCCCUAAGUGUGAAACUCUAGACAAUUUUCAAAUAACAUUUUAUUCACUGUUUUAUUUGCUGUGUCUUCACUAUUGUUGCACAGCCAUUGUGUUUCUGCUACAGGUUUUAGGUCGUUUCUCUUGCAUAUCUUGACGUUUCAGGGUAACAGAUUGCUUUUAUAUCCUUGCCAGGUGAAAAACCAAUCAGUACAUUUAGAGCAUAGGAGAGAGCUGUGGUACAGUAAUGAAGCAGUAAUGAAGUGGGGGAAGCAGAGAGGUUUGGAUGGAAGGCUAGCCACGUCUGCAAGUGCAAUGAAAUCGCCCCAGAUGAUGGAGGCCAAAAGCAAACCAAACCGGACAACAACUUCAUGUCCCUAAGAGGAGACAGUUGUGAUAUUGAGAUGAGUAUCUGCAUUAAGAUUUCUCAGGCCUUUGCUCUCUUUGGUUCUUAUGAGGCAGCACUGGUUUGCGUCAUGCUGUGGUUGAGAGUGGCAGCCUCACCUGAAGCAUUCUCCUUUUGUGGACCAGUGGAGUACUUUUCUUGAAGUCUGGAAGCCUACGGAUUCAGAAGAGAGAACAGAAAAUAUAUAGUACAGUAGUUGGAUCCAGCCCUCCUCCGGUAGAUCCCUACAUCGCAAGUGAAAUACAGGCACAGGUGUUGUAGUAGUUGGUUGGAGUUAGCAGGGUUGGGUUGAGUGACUCAAAGAAGAAACACAGAAGUGAGUAAAAGGAGAGAAAACACAUCAAGAGGGGACAAACAACAAAAAGCCUGAUUUCUGGUCUCGCUUUUCUGCUAAGAAAAUAGUGUGCUCUAUUAUUUUGCAGAGAGAGCACUGUAGUCCAAGGUCUGGGAGGGAAUCACUGCACUUGGUGAUGAGCAUUCUGAGGACCCGCCAUCAGCAGUAACAAGGGGACACUGAGUGUGUGAAGGCACAAAGGUCUCAGCCUCUACCGUAGACUCAGAAAGCUUCUUAGCCCUGCCGAGAAUGAUGCUGCUUCACCUUACUACAGAAGCUCAGAGCUGCCAUCUAGCAAAACUCCUGGUGCUCCUCCACCUCCUAAUCCAGCUCAGGGUGGCUGCCUGGGCAUUGCACACUGAUCUGCAUAAGGAUGAUGUCCCUAGACGUGACAGGAAACAGAUAGCUUGGUUACCAUGGGAACGGAAGCUGAGUGAUGCAUUGGACUGUGGGAGAAAAGCAGAGGUGGUCCUGACAUAAAGGCCCUCAGGGGAAGAGAUUUGAGCAACGCACUCAUAUUUGAAAGAAUUCACAAUUUCUACAGGUAACUGUCUUCCCCUUAAUGUUGAGGACAACUAUCCUCUUCCAUCGUUUGCAGCGGGAUGGAACUCUCAUGACAAGACCUAGCGAUCCUGCCCUCUACUACCCAAGGUGUGAACAUGAAGUCCAACUGCAUGCCCACUCCUUGGGAUCUAACACAUGCACCGAAACAGGGUGAGGAGCUGUUUUAUCGUGUCACUGGACGCUUGCUCCUGUUUCCAAGUGCCUCCAGGCACCUCUGUUCAUGUCCUUCAUCCAUUCUCCUUCUCAUUCUUUGUUCUUCUGUUGAUUCUUCCUUCGGUACUCCUGGCUAUAUCCUCUUCGUUAGACACCUAACCCCACAAGGACAAACAGGAUGGGUGAGGAGACAAUAAUUAUAAAGUAUGAGAAGGUGGAAAGCAGACAGAUGAGUGAUGUCUGACUUAACUGACUCAAGAGCAUUUAAUCCUAACCCACCAGUGACGAAAAGUCCAAAGCAAUGGUCUUUAAUCCUCCUCACCAGACCUUCAGUAGUUUGUGAGAUUGGCAGUGGCAUGUUCCCCUGCACUUUAGGGGUAAUGGUAGGGGUUGUAAAUUACAUGAUGGCUCUAAAGUAUAGAUAAGACACAGAUAGACACCCAGAACCCCUCUCGGCAACCUCUGGCGGGGAAAAUUGCUUUCCCCAAACCCUUGGGAGCUUGAGGAAACACUUACUCUCUGAAGGGGAUAAAUGGAUGAUUAAUGGACUUUAAGAUCUCAGCCUCAGGUGAAGGCAGGCCUCCAAACCCAAUAUAGGGAUUUAAGUAAAAAAGCUACAUAACAGUUUAAUUCCUAGCUUCAUUCCCAACUUGUACAAACUGCUGGCAUCUUGCCUUUUCCCAUAGAUGCAGGAGAUCCUUCCCUGAGAAAUCGAACCAUCACAGGAGGAGAGAUUCAAUAAUUAUAGCAGGCACAAGACUCUCGAGUUUUCAUACUAGUCAGUUCAAAAUAGUUUCAAAUUUCAACGUGAUUUCUUCUUAGAGCGCUGGGUAUUCAGGAAGAUAUUUCUUUCUUUACAAACAUAUGAGGGAUUUUUCUAAUGAUUUGGGUUAUUAAUUUACAGUUUAAUGGCAUGGUGGUCAGAGAAUAUACAAAUCACCAAAGAAUCGAUUCUUUAUGUACACUCCUGGGACUCUCCUUAUUAGAAUAUGUUUCUCUAACUUUUCAGUGGAAUACAACACCAAAACGGAAUUGCAUGAAUCAUAAAUGUACCACUCAGUAAAUUAUUAUAUCACAAAUAUCUGAGUAGCUACAAUCCAGGUCAAGAGAUCUGGCAUUGCCAGCAACCAAAAAUCAGCCUUAUGCCUCUACCUAGUCAUUGCUAUGUGCCACCUCAGCAAGUCUAACCAGUAUUUCGACUUUUAACAUUGGAAUUUUGCCUAUUUGUGAACUUCAUUGCAAGUGAUAAAUACAAUCAUUAUAGUACAUAUUCUUGUAAUCUAGCUUUCUUUUGGCAACAUUAUAUUUUUCACUUACUACUCUUCAUUCUUUUGUAGUUUGUUAACUGAGUUCCUGGAUAUUCAUUGCUGAAUAAUAUUUCAACGUGUGUAAAUAUACCACGAUUUUUUGUACAAUCUGUUUCUG